GUAUUUUAUAGUAAGUGUCUGGCAAAAUAUAAACUUUAAUGAAUUGCAAUUAGGUCUCAAAAAGAAAGGAAAUUCAUUUGAAAACUUUUGCAAUUUUCUAAUUUAAUAGAAAUAGCCAAAACAAUGUGGUUUUUAAACAAGGCUUCAAACUAAUCUAGUACAACUUCUACAACACAUUCCAGAGCAUUGUAACAAGAAUUAUUUACAGGCAGCUAAUGUAUUAAAUAACCAUAAAAAGAAAAACUUGCUUUUAUUACACGCAGCAAAAAACACAGGAACAGAACAAUUAGAAAUUGUAACCUUGUUUAAAAAAUUAAAUAUGAUCAUUUAGAGAAUACAAUACCACAGAAACAGCACUUUUUAAGAAUCAUUCUGAAGGGUAGUUUAACUAUGUGCAAAAAUAGUAGUAAUGAGGGGAGACCAGUUGAAAUACUGGAAGCAAGGAACUAGUAAGGCUGUGAGUUUAACCCUUGUGUGUAGAUAUGUCCACAUAGAAAAAUCAACAGGUUUCCAAUUGCGCACACCUUGCACCGUAGGCUCACAUCCAUGUUUCACUGCUGUAAAACAGAGUAAAUGCCCACAUUGUUCAGAGCAGAAGCAGGCAUUCUCAACAUGAAAUUUAGGCCACAAAUGAAUGGAGUAUGUGACACUUAGAAAAUCACCUUUGUGCCUUCAUAGGAAUCUCUUGACUGUAACACAGUAUCGUUUUCAGUUUUAAGUAACACUUGCUAGAAAAGGGAUAGCCUUGAUUCUAUACAUUCUGUAGUUUGACAAAUAUGCCCAACUUAUUUUUUUAAAGAUAAUUUUGCUUCUAGAUACAAUAAAAAUAUAUAAAGGGUACUGUAAGGAAACAUAAGUAACUAAGUUCAGAGUGAUGCACUUUUGACCAAGGAAAACAUGCAUUUAUCCAAGUAAAGAAGCCAGUAUAUCCGAGAGUAAAUGCUGAAAUUGGAAAUGUCUAUGUAAACUGUGGCAUAUAAAUUUUUUCCUUAAAAAAGUACCUUCAGUUUUUUUACUCAAACAGCUACUUUUAAAAAAAUAUGCAACUUUCCCCAAUUUUUUUAAAAUAAAAUGCCACAAUAUAUUGUCAUUACUUCCAGCAUACAUUUAAAUUUUUUACUUUUUUUAAAAGAUAGAUUGGGUGAUAUGCAUACAAACUUUCCUAUAAAAUCACCAUCCAGCAGGAUUAUGACAUGCUAUUUACUAGGCAACAGACUCAAAGCAGCGUUAUUGCUUUAUCAAGGAAGUAUUAACUGGGAGAAAGAAGUUAACAUUGAAGUUGGGUUUAUGAUCCAACUUUGAUACUUUAAAAAUCUUAAACAUCUUUCAGCAGAUAAUUAGCAAGGAGGCAAAAUUGGCAUAUCCACUUGCAUGUUUUGAGGUCACAUGCGUGGUGUAUACACUCACAAGUUGUAUGUGAUGGCAUGUAUGCCAGGGUGCAUGUGUGGAGGUCUGUAUGUUUGCAUGUAUGUGAGGGCAUAUGUGCUAGGGUGCAGGUCAGAUGGCAACUUCCGGUGCUAGUCCUCACCUUCGACCUUUGAGAAAGGGAUUCAGCACUGAAUAUGCCAGGUUAGCUACUCAAAGGGCUUCUGGAAACUACCUCUGCCUAUCUUUCUGUAGGAGCACUGGGCUUAGAUGCACACUACUGUACCCACCUGUACGUAGGUGCUGGGGAUUCAAACUCAGAUCUUCAUGCUUGUGGCACUCAUGCUUUUUACUCAUGUCAUCUGUCCAGCUCAAAGAAGCUAUUUCAACUCAGGGAGUUAGGGUUGGUAGUCUUUUGUUUUCUUAAUUUUUUAAUUAAGAAAACCACUUACUGAUCCAAUCCAAUGCUGGCUACAAGAUAUAGACGUUUUUGUACUUUAUGUGCUGUAUGCGAAUGAGGCUGGGUACCAGAUGUAAAAGCUAAGGAGAGGGGAGUACAGCAUCUACUCCCCAUCCACAUUUUAGAAAAAACUGUUCAAUAACAAGUGGUAAGCCACAACUUAAGGGCAUAGUCGGAAGACCUGAAUCUUUUAGGUUACUGACACUAACUCACUAAUAAUUACGUGGCAGGAUACCUGCUGAGGUAAUCGAUAAA
ensembl:lncRNA